rnacentral:sRNA from 1 species
GAUGAGCGGAGGCGCUGCUGCGGCGCUGCGGCCGACGCCGGGUCCGCACCAGCUGUCUCCCCCUCCCAGCUUUUUACCUCGGCUUCCCACUCCUUCCCCCGCCCGCCCAGCACCGCCAGCCCGGGAGAGCUGCCGGGAGUUCCCCGGGAGCCUCAGGUGGUGACUGUCCUGUUGAGAAGCAAAAGAUACUUCACAAGUAGAAAAUAUGCCUCCCAAGUUUAAGCGCCACCUCAAUGAUGAUGAUGUCACGGGUUCUGUGAAAAGUGAAAGGAGAAAUCUUUUGGAAGAUGAUUCAGAUGAAGAAGAGGACUUUUUUCUAAGGGGACCAUCUGGACCAAGAUUUGGACCUAGAAAUGACAAAAUUAAGCAUGUUCAGAAUCAAGUGGAUGAAGUUAUUGAUGUCAUGCAAGAAAAUAUUACAAAGAAAGCUUAUCGGAUAAUGCAACAGCUUUUAGCAACAGAUCCAAACAACUUCGAAGGCAAAUGUGGUGGCGUGGAUGCAAAAUAAAAGCCAUCAUGGCUUUGGUUGCUGCUAUCCUUUUGCUAGUGAUUAUCAUUCUUAUAGUCAUGAAAUACCGUACUUGAU